CCUCAUAAAACUGAACCAGAACCAGAACCAGAACCCAGCUGUGUGUCCUUUAAGAGCGAUGGCUCAAAGCUUCGUCCCAUUGACUUCAAAUCAUCAGGACCUCCAUCCUCAGAGAGGAUCCAUCAUGAACCAGAACCAGAACCAGAACCCAGCUGUGUGUCCUUUGCGAGCGAUGGCUCAAAGCUUCGUCCCAUUGACUUCAAAUCAUCAGGACCUCCAUCCUCAGAGAGAGUGGACCAGCAGAACUCAGAGGUUCCCAGAGGUC